rnacentral:rRNA from 1 species
GAUCCAGACUCCUACGGGAGGCAGCAGUGGGGAAUAUUGCACAAUGGGGGGAACCCUGAUGCAGCGACGCCGCGUGAGUGAAGAAGUAUUUCGGUAUGUAAAGCUCUAUCAGCAGGGACGAAGAUGACGGUACCUGCAGAAGAAGCCCCGGCUAACUACGUGCCAGCAGCCGCGGUAAUACGUAGGGGGCAAGCGUUAUCCGGAUUUAUUGGGUUUAAAGGGUGCGUAGGCUGUGAGGUAAGUCAGCGGUGAAAUGCCCCCGCUCAACGGGGUGAAGUGCCAUUGAUACUGCCUUGCUGGAAUGCGGAUGCCGUGGGAGGAAUGUGUGGUGUAGCGGUGAAAUGCAUAGAUAUCACACAGAACACCGAUUGCGAAGGCAUCUCACGAAUCCGCGAUUGACGCUGAUGCACGAAAGCGUGGGUAUCAAACAGGAUUAGAUACCCGGGUAGA